rnacentral:misc_RNA from 1 species
GUAGGUGAACCUGCGGAAGGAUCAUUACAAAUCUGGGGGGGGGAGGAAGAGAUGAUUUUGCUUGCUUGCUUGCUUGCUUGCUUGCUUGCUUGCUUGCUUGCUUGCUUGCUUGCUUGCUUGCUUUGCUCUCUGCUCUACCCUCUAACACACAUUGGCACGGGGGUUGGACUGGUGGUCGUCGUUGUCGUCGUUGUUGUUGUUGUUGUUGUUGCCGUUGUUGUCGUUGUCGUUGCUGUCAUUGUCAUGCACGCAAGUGGGUGACGCUGACAGUGACCCUGACGACCGACCGACUGACUGACUGACCGACCGGCGGCUGGCUACCACCUACCUACCCUUGAUGUUUACGCUUGUAAAUGUUUGACCGGUUCAAAGUGACAACCAAUUUAAAUUUGACAACUUUUAACAAUGGAUCUCUUGGCUCUU